AACAAGCUUUAACAUCCAAUCAAAAAGAGUGGGAUUCAAAAAUUACCCAAUCAGGAUCACACAAGCAGUGUGUCUGGAAACAGGCGGCAGCAUGCGGGGCGGGGCAGCUCUCUGCCAGCCGGCCCAGCAGCACGCCCUCCAACUGGCCAUGCGCAGGUCUGGCCAGCGGAGAUGCAGAGUGACAGCGAGGGGAGGAGAAAAUCACAAUGACCGUGCGACUCCAGCUCUUAGAAAAGGGCACUGAAAUGAUAGUUCACAGACCCAGUCCCUAGGGCCCUUUACCUGCCAGGAUAGAAACAGAAGUAUAGAAAAUUCGAGGAACAUCAAGUCAUACAGCCAAUAACACAGAAUGCAGAAAUUUGAACACAUAUCUGCUGACACCAAAGCUCUCCUUCUGUCUUCUCUACCACCACGCAUCCCAGUCCUUUUGACUUCUGGUCCAUAGACCUUUACAUUUCACAACCUGGUCUUUAAUGGAAUAAAUAAAAUUCCAGAACUUCAGGAUUGGGGGCUUAGUAAUCAGUUUAUGCUACUUUGCUACUAAAAUCAACACAAUUGCAUGUUCUUCAUCUAGUCCACCAACAUUUUUUGAACAGCUCCUUUGUGCCAAGGUGAUGGUGCUAUAGCAGUGAAUGAAGACAGCCACAGUCCUUGUCUUCAGGGGCUUUCAGUAAAGUAAUCUACUCCUCACACUUGAUCCUCAUUGAGAAGGCUUCCUGGCUGCAAAUGAGAACGAAUGCCACCUUGCUUUCAUAGACACGUGGAACUCCGUCGCUGCUGUUGCCAAGGAAAUAUCAUCAGCUGCAUUAUUUUUAACUGCUGCCCAUGAGUAAUAUCAGAGAUUAAUUGAUCAGCUAAAUGGGAAACACACGGAAAAUAGACCAGGAAUAAAUCAAGAAGGGAAAUGGUGUGCUGUGUCUUAUAUACCUCAGAUCAAUUGUGGUACAGCUCACUCAGCGAGGCUCCAGAUUGCAAAACAGCCUGCUUGCAAGGGGUCACAUAUAGGGCAAAUAGCUGGCUUAACGACAUACAAA